rnacentral:rRNA from 1 species
UCCUACGGGAGGCAGCAGUAGGGAAUCUUCCGCAAUGGACGAAAGUCUGACGGAGCAACGCCGCGUGAGUGAUGAAGGUUUUCGGAUCGUAAAACUCUGUUGUUAGGGAAGAACAAGUUGGGUAGUAACUGACCCAACCUUGACGGUACCUAACCAGAAAGCCACGGCUAACUACGUGCCAGCAGCCGCGGUAAUACGUAGGUGGCAAGCGUUGUCCGGAAUUAUUGGGCGUAAAGCGCUCGCAGGCGGUCUUUUAAGUCUGAUGUGAAAGCCCACGGCUUAACCGUGGAGGGUCAUUGGAAACUGGAGGACUUGAGUACAGAAGAGGAGAGUGGAAUUCCACGUGUAGCGGUGAAAUGCGUAGAGAUGUGGAGGAACACCAGUGGCGAAGGCGACUCUCUGGUCUGUAACUGACGCUGAGGCGCGAAAGCGUGGGGAGCAAACAGGAUUAGAUACCCUGGUAGUCCACGCCGUAAACGAUGAGUGCUAAGUGUUAGAGGGUUUCCGCCCUUUAGUGCUGAAGUUAACGCAUUAAGCACUCCGCCUGGGGAGUACGGCCGCAAGGCUGAAACUCAAAGGAAUUGACGGA